ACAUGCGUAGCUUAUUUAAAGCAUGGCACUGAAAAUGCUAAUAUGAGAAGUAAAAUUCUCCGUGAGUA
rnacentral:tRNA from 1 species